UGGGGAAUUUUGGACAAUGGGCGCAAGCCUGAUCCAGCAAUGCCGCGUGCAGGAUGAAGGCCUUCGGGUUGUAAACUGCUUUUGUACGGAACGAAAAAGCUCUCUCUAAUACAGGGGGUGAAUGACGGUACCGUAAGAAUAAGCACCGGCUAACUACGUGCCAGCAGCCGCGGUAAUACGUAGGGUGCAAGCGUUAAUCGGAAUUACUGGGCGUAAAGCGUGCGCAGGCGGUUUUGUAAGACAGAGGUGAAAUCCCCGUGCUCAACGUGGGAACUGCCUUUGUGACUGCAAAGCUUGAGUGCGGCAGAGGGGGAUGGAAUUCCGCGUGUAGCAGUGAAAUGCGUAGAUAUGCGGAGGAACUCCGAUGGCGAAGGCAAUCCCCUGGGCCUGCACUGACGCUCAUGAACGAAAGCGU
rnacentral:rRNA from 1 species